GAUUUGCUGAACGUGAGUGGAGUGAAAAUGUAAUUUCUGUCUCCAGAUUCACUCAACAAACUUUCUCAAAAACAAAUACAGGAACUUGUUCAACAGCAUCUUCUGUUCAGCCAGUAUGGUUCAUCAGCUUGAUUCUUCUCUGAGAGAGAUCACAGUGCCUGAUGCUGCUCUGGUGAUAGAGUUAGCAAACUUCCUGUUGGACCUUUCAAAAGAGCAAGUGUCAGGUUCUCCAGCAGCAGUAUUAACAUAAAGUGACAUGGCAUCUGACGCAAUGGCACAUCCGGUGGCACUUCUGGUCUUCAUUGGCAUAUGUCAGUGGAUAGUGGCAUGUGCCACUGACAUUGGCACGAAACACUGACACUGUCGCUGUCUCGCGGACCAUGUCGCCGACAUAUGUUUUGUAAUCCAAUUAGGCCUAAACGACGUAUUUAAGUUGGCCAUAUUUUUUUCAAACAU